rnacentral:rRNA from 1 species
UACGAAGGGGGCUAGCGUUGUUCGGAAUCACUGGGCGUAAAGGGCGCGUAGGCGGCCGAUCAAGUCGGGGGUGAAAGCCUGUGGCUCAACCACAGAAUUGCCUUCGAUACUGUUUGGCUUGAGACCGGAAGAGGUUAGUGGAACUGCGAGUGUAGAGGUGAAAUUCGUAGAUAUUCGGAAGAACACCAGUGGCGAAGGCGGCUCACUGGCCCGGUACUGACGCUGAGGUGCGAAAGCGUGGGGAGCAAACAGG